rnacentral:lncRNA from 10 species
CAUCAAGUCAAUCUCAGCCCUCGGAUCUGGGGUUAAACACAAAGACAGCCUCCUUUGCCGAGGAUACAUGUGCUGCAUCUUAUAAUCCUGCCUCUCCUUAUGCCAGUCCUGUAAGGCAUGAGCACCAUUUCACAGAUCAGGAAACCGCGGCACGGGGCAACAGGAACUUGCCUACAUUCUCUGCAUUCGUAGGUGGAAGAGUCAGGAUUCGAACCCUAGUCUGCCAAACGCCGAGGUCCAUGCACCUCUUGCUGCACUGUCCUCCCAUGUGUGGCUUCCUACUGUUCCGUCUGCGGGCGGAGCCCCAGCCCCACCCCGGAGGAGGUGGGAGAUGACCGUCGCUUUCGUAUUUUGGAAAGCUUCAGUUGUCAGCCCCUCCGGGCAGGUUCUGUCAUUCCUGGGGACUGCAUCAUUUCUGACAUAACAGAAUCUAGUCAAUUCAACUCAGCAAACAUUUCCAAAUCCCCUCUGUAUGCCAGGUGCUGCCUGGGGAGGCUGGUCAGUCCCCGGUUACCCCGAAUCCCACUGCCUCUGGGAGCUCUGAUCCCAGAAUCCUCCAGUGAAAGGGACUUGGAGGAGCACACAGUUCCCAAAACUCAGAUUUAGAGAAAAAACUGAGGCCACACCCCCAAAUUUAGAGCAGAAAGAAGUGGAGCUGCUCUGUUUGAAGUGAGGGUGGGCAUUCUGGAUCCUACCAGCCUAGCCUUCCCUCCCCUCCUGCAGGCUCCGGAAAACAUCACCUGAUCAGACCUGGCCAUGUCACAGGUGAGAGUGGCAGAGACAGGUACAAAUAAAACCAUGAAGUCACAGGAAAAGGAACUGAUUUUUUUUUUCUUUUUUUUUUUGGAGACGGGAUCUCGCUUUGUCACCCAGGCCGGAGUGUAGAGGCGUGAUCACGGCUCACUGCAGCCUCAACAUCCCGGGCUCAAGUAUCCUCCCACCUCAACCUACGGAGUAGCUGGGACCACAGGUGCAUGCUAUCAUGCCCGGCUAAUUUUUUAAUUUUUUUGUAGAAACAGUCUUACUAUGUUGUCCAGGCUGGUCUUAAACUCCUAGACUCAAGCAAUCCUCCCACCCCAGUCUCCCAAAGUGUUAGAAUCAUAGCUGUGAAACACCGCACCUGGUCAAGAAAUAAAUUUUGAU